CACCGCGGUUAUACGAGAGGCCCAAGCUGACAGUUGCCGGCGUAAAGAGUGGUUAAUACCCCCACGACACUAAAGCCGAACAUCUCCAAAGUUGUACAACGCACUCGAAGAUAUGAAGACCAACCACGAAAGUGACUUUACACUCUUUGAACCCACGAAAGCUAGGGAA
rnacentral:rRNA from 1 species